GAUGAAGAACGUAGCAAAAUGCGAUAAGUAAUGUGAAUUGCAGAAUUCAGUGAAUCAUCGAAUCUUUGAACGCACAUUGCGCCCGCCAGUAUUCUGGCGGGCAUGCCUGUUCGAGCGUCAUUUCAACCCUCAAGCCCAGCUUGGUGUUGGGACUCGCGUUAAUUCGCGUUCCCCAAAUUGAUUGGCGGUCACGUCGAGCUUCCAUAGCGUAGUAGUAAAACCCUCGUUACUGGUAAUCGUCGCGGCCACGCCGUUAAACCCCAACUUCUGAAUGUUGACCUCGGAUCAGGUAGGAAUACCCGCUGAACUUAAGCAUAUCAAUAAGCGGAGGA
rnacentral:misc_RNA from 1 species